AUUUCCCAGUGUCUCAGAUCACUUCCUGUUGCCUUCGGAUUAAGAUGUAGAACGCUCAGCUACUUCUCAAGCACCAUGUCUGCCUGCAUGCCAUCGUGUUCCAACAUGAUGAUAAAGGGCUAAACCUCUGAAAAUCUAUUUCAAGUUGAGUGGUCCACAAGGGUGUGGCCUGUCUUAUUCCAUGUUGGAAUCAGGAAGAUGCAAGCUGCUGUAGGAGCCAAGAUUGCUGUGUUAGAGUCAGUGGAUGAAGAAGCAGAAUGGCUGCAGUAGGUCAGAUGGUGGAUCUAUCC
rnacentral:lncRNA from 1 species